UUUAUGUCGUCUCUCUACAAUCACAGUAGCGCUCUUUGGAUGUCCAUUUAUAAAUAUUUAACUCAAAUCUUCACAUUUUAAAGGAAGUCAGCUCAAGUUGGAAAAGAAGGAGACAGUAGACCUGCUGACCAUCUCAACAAGGCUUUGAUAUCACUCUGAGAAGAAGCCGGACAAACUUUGAACAAAGAUCAGACUGAGGAGUGGAUUCAAGACACUGCCUUUUAAAACUUGCUCAGAGAUGUCAGAGUCAUCCCAGAAGCAUCUAAACAACCUCGAAGUCAAUCUUCCACUGACUACUGUAACAGGAACAGGUCUUCAACAACCUGAGGAAACCUGCAGUCAAGUAAUCUGUGAGGACUCUACUGCGUCCUGCUGCAAUGACAAGUACCACAGGAAACUGGCCGUCUCUAGCAUCAUCUGCGGGUUUGCCUGCUGCGGAGUCCCAGCUUUGAUUUAUUCUGUCAAGGCUGAGGAUGCUGACAAAGCUGAGAAGGCCGAGCCGACGACAGACAAGAGAGCUCCAAAGUAUUUAAGACAGGCCAAAAAAUGGGGCAUCAUCUCCAUCGUGACGUGGGUUUCCGUUCUAGUGUCAGCUCCAUUGCUGCUGGCACUGGGCUCAUAUCUCGCCACUUUGAUUGACUGAUCAACCUCAAAGGAGAACAGCCAGAGGAGUGUCUUUGCUGAUGUUUAUGGAGACGGACAGUGGAGAGCAGGAAGCUGCUGAAUCAAUAGCUACGAACACCAAAGCUGUGGAGAAACUACAGGUUACAUUAAAUGGAAAAAGGCUGUGUUGGUUUUUCUUACGCUGAAAUGAAUGCUUUCCUAAUUUAUACUUUUCUAGUGCCUUUAGUUUUUACACAAAGAACAAACAUCAUUGAAAAUAGUAUUAAAUGUCUAACAACUGUUUUUGUUAUAUGCUGUGAUAUUUAUUGAACCAUCUGUUGACCCGUGGACUAUGCGAACGUACAUGGAUAUAUUAUAGAUUGAAGACUAAAGCUGUUAAUCUUGAAUAUAAAGCUAUUUAAAUGUAAAGCUGCUCCCGUAAUGACUCAAUCCUUAAUACUUUUACAGUUACACUUUAACUUCCUUACUGUAGAUGACUACAGAUGCUACAUAAGUUAAUCAGUCAAUCAACAAGUCACUUUAAAGUGGAGCAACGUGUGACUUUAGGAUUGAGUCUCUACCGGAGAUGAAAUGCGAGGCAGUGAUCGUGGCAGUGCUUCAUCAGGACAUUAUGAGGUCCUGUUCUUGCUAUUUUAUUUUAUUAAUAUCAAAUGUAUAUAUAUGCUGCACUUUUAUACAAACAUUAACAAACAAUUUUAUAAUAAAAUGAGGAAACUUUUAUGGUCUUCAUCCACUUGAAACAUUUUAACAUGCUCAUUAAAAAACCCAAUGUCACGUUGCCAUGGCAUUAUUGCAUUGUUACAAUAUUUACUUCAUUAAUGUCAAAUGUAUAUAUAUACAUGUUGUACUUUUA